ACGGGGAAAGGGAGGGUCCUGGGCACCAACAAAGCGCACACGCAUGCUGGGGAGCCAAGGGACAGAGGCGGUCGGCUCGCGGCUUUCUCUCUGCCCUGGCAAAGGAGGAGGGGGAAGAAGAGAGAGAGGGAAGGCAAAGUACCGUCUUGUCCAGGCACUGAAGGCAGUUAUAAGGCUUGCAGCAGCAAUGGCCCAUCCCGGCAGGCUGGCUGGUAAGGGGACCUCCUGCUUUCAACGUGUCAGCGGUAAUUCCUAAGCCCAGGAACUGGCACUCGAGAAAGGGGCGCGCCGCCGGGAGCUGUCACAACUUCCAUGUGGUCCCUUCGGCUACCUCAUUUCUCCUAAUAACUUCAGGUAUCCAGGCGCCAGAGGGUUGAGAGGCAGAGGAGGGCGGAGCAGCAGCCUCCGGAAUCCUGCUGCGGGAGGCCACCCUGGCGGGCGGGAGGAAGGGAGGCGACAGGCAGUAGGGAGGGUCACUUUGCCCCCGGAAUCCUCAGAGUGAGGCAAAUCAAUAGUCGCAUAACAAGGGAGCAUUCGCCAGUGCCAUCUCCCCCGGAGGACAGCCAGCCUGCUCUCAGCCGGCAGCCGCUCCCAGCCCUCCCGAGUGCGGAUGCGCCCUGCACCACGCAGACACGCCUGGAGAGGACGCAGGACGCACACAAAAGGAGCCCGGCUUCCAGGGACGGUCUGAGGACCACCGGGCCAGAGCGGUCAGAUCCGGGCUUUCUGUUCCUCUAAGAAGUAAAGACCUUUGUAAGUGUGAUGAUGUGGCCUCUCCUCCCUGGCAACUCCAUUUGUUGCCCAUGAGAACCAUUUUCCAAUUUCAUGCCAUAAACAGUUUUUGACUUUCUUUGAUGAAAUCUUUACAUUUGUAAUAUAAUUUUUAAAAAAAAUUUUUUUAGUUGUAUAUGGACUCAAUGCCUUUAUUUGUUUUUAUGUGGUGCUAGGAUCGAACCCAGUGCCUAAUUUUGAGACAUAAUUGUGAAAUCACAUAUACAAACCAUCCAAGUGGCUUCGGUAAUUAAAAUUGUGGUUUGGGAUAUAUUUUUCCAGGUAUUUCUCCAAAGCAAAUGGGCAUAAAAGCUUAGAGGACUUGAUUACUUUUAAGGCAAUUUAUUAAUUAUUUUUAAUUAAAAAAUUAAAAAUAGAAGAGGGCAAAAGUUAUUUUCAAAACAGACUUGGUAUUUAAAAAAUAUAUUUAUGUAAUCCUGAAAUUAAAGAUGCAAAUAUUGGCAAGAUUGACUUUGACCCAGAGGAGAAAUUCCAAAAUUUGUCAUGAGCAAAAAUACACAAUUACAUUUUCAUCCAAUAAAGUUGCCUUGGCUAGAAGCAGACAAUAGUUGCUGAAAUUAGGUGAUUUUACUAAUUUAACUGAGAUUUUCUAAGCAGAUUUUAACUAAAUAACUAGUACAGGCUACCGUUGAUUUACUUGUAGAAAGACAAAAGUAUUUGGUCAAAUAUGGACAGAGUGGAAUAUUUGGAAUGCUUGUCCUAAAUGUGACAAAAUAAAUGCAAAUCUUUUUAAAGCUAGCAGAUAAAUUAGCAUAAUCCUUUAGGAAGGCAAUUUGGCCAUAUCUACCACAUUUUAAAAUAUCCAUAUACUUUUUGACCCAAGAUUUUCCCUUCUAUCCUAUGCUAAUACAUCAAUACCCAAGAGUGUAUGUGUCAGGAUCUUCAAUUCAACAUCAUUUGUAACAGCAUAAAAAUAGGAAAUACCCUAGGUUUCUGAAACCUUCCUACUAUAUGAAAAGGUGAUACACUGUUGAGUGAAAAAGUAAACUUUUUUUUGGUGGGGGGGGUAACCAGGGAUUGAAAUCAGGGGCACUCAACCAUAUCCCCACCUUUAUUUCGUAGUUUAUUUAGAGACAGGGUCUCACUGAGUUGCUUGGGAUCCUCCUGCCUCAGCCUUCUGAGGAGCUGGAACUUAAGGUGAGAAAAGGGAGGCUCAGAGAUUGUACAAACUUGCACAAGAAACUAAGAAAUUAUUGAUAGAGUGGAGCUUUGAAUGCCGGUCUGCCUCUCAAGCUCACAUCCUGUAAGCUGGUGUUAUAACCUGGAUAAAGGAUCUGAGUAUAUGAAUGUAUUCAAACAUGCUUGUAGAACUGCUCCAUGUUUUCACAGCUCAAAACAAGCGCUUCCAUUUUAAUUAUUUAUGAGAAGAGUGAUUUGUGAACCAUAAGCGGACUGCUAAGACAAAGAACGUGAAAGAAAGAAAAAGAGCAAUCACAAAAUAGAAGGCUUAUGGAUUUCAGUUUGAUUCUCGGCUGGGUGGCUUUGUGCGAAGCUGAGCUCCGUGGCCACUGCAAUGAGAGUCACCUGUGUGCCUAAUACAGGAGGGCAAGAGCACACUAGGGAAUGCAGCCAGCCUCAGAUGCCAUCUGUUCCUGUGAAGUGGGACACCCACCCCAUCAAACACUAUCCACCCGCCUGACCUGAUCCAAGAAUGGUCAAGAGGAAGAGAGGAAAAACAG